GACGAACGCUGGCGACGUGCCUAAUACAUGCAAGUUGAGCGCUGAAGGUUGGUACUUGUACCGACUGGAUGAGCAGCGCACGGGUGAGUAACGCGUGGGGAAUCUGCCUUUGAGCGGGGGACAACAUUUGGAAACGAAUGCUAAUACCGCAUAAAAACUUUAAACACAAGUUUUAAGUUUGCAAGAUGCAAUUGCAUCACUAAAAGAUGAUCCCGCGUUGUAUUAGCUAGUUGGUAAGGUAAAGGCUCACCAAGGCGAUGAUACAUAGCCGACCUGAGAGGGUGAUCGGCCACAUUGGGACUGAGACACGGCCCAAACUCCUACGGGAGGCAGCAGUAGGGAAUCUUCGGCAAUGGACGAGAGUCUGACCGAGCAACGCCGCGUGAGUGAAGAAGGUUUUCGGAUCGUAAAACUCUGUUGGUAGAGAAGAACGCUGGUGAGAGUGGAAAGCUCAUCAAGUGACGGUAACUACCCAGAAAGGGACGGCUAACUACGUGCCAGCCGCCGCCGUAA
rnacentral:rRNA from 1 species